UACGUAGGGUGCAAGCGUUAUCCGGAAUCACUGGGCGUAAAGCGUGCGUAGGUGGGAAUUUAAGUGUGAUGUUAAAUCGUGUGGCUCAACCAUAUCGAUGCAUCGCAUACUGGGUUCCUAGAGGACGGCAGAGGCAAGUGGAAUUAGCAGUGUAGCAGUGAAAUGCGUAGAUAUUGCUAGGAACACCAAUGGCGAAGGCAGCUUGUUGGGCCACUCCUGACACUGAGGUACGAAAGCGUGGGGAGCGAACAGG
rnacentral:rRNA from 1 species